CGGACGGGUGAGUAACGCGUGGGUAACCUGCCUCAUACAGGGGGAUAACAGUUGGAAACGACUGCUAAUACCGCAUAAGCGCACAGGAUCGCAUGAUCCGGUGUGAAAAACUCCGGUGGUAUGAGAUGGACCCGCGUCUGAUUAGCCAGUUGGCAGGGUAACGGCCUACCAAAGCGACGAUCAGUAGCCGACCUGAGAGGGUGACCGGCCACAUUGGGACUGAGACACGGUCCAA
rnacentral:rRNA from 1 species